GUUUCCAUACAACAAUGUUCUUCUUAAAC
rnacentral:other from 20 species